UCCCCAGUGGUCCAGCGGCUAGGACUCCACACUCCCAAUGCAGGGGGCCCAGGUUCAACCCCUGGUUGGGGAA
rnacentral:tRNA from 1 species